UCCACUGAACCUUAUCAUUUAGAGGAAGGAGAAGUCGUAACAAGGUUUCCGUAGGUGAACCUGCGGAAGGAUCAAUGUCGAAACCUGCCCAGCAGAACGACCCGUGGACCUGUUAACAAUUUGUCGGGGCCUCGGGCCAACCCCCGUCGCCCCCGAUUGUCGGGGGUGCGGCCGUGCGUGCUCGCCAUGCCCGGCCCUCUCCCGACCAAACAAACCAACCCCGGCGCGGAACGCGCCAAGGAAUUUUCCAAUGAAAGAGGGACUAUCCCGCUCGUGCCGGAAACCCGGGAACACGAACGGGUGGCCGUCCUGCUCUUGAUAACAAAAAAUGACUCUCGGCAACGGAUAUCUAGGCUCUUGCAUCGAUGAAGAACGUAGCGAAAUGCGAUACUUGGUGUGAAUUGCAGAAUCCCGUGAACCAUCGAGUCUUUGAACGCAAGUUGCGCCCGAAGCCUUCUGGCCGAGGGCACGUCUGCCUGGGUGUCACACAUCGUCGCCCCCCCAAACCCUCCAUCCCUUCGGGGCAUUGGGGAUCUGUCGGGGCGGACAAUGGCCUCCCGUGCGCUCCCGCUCGCGGUUGGCCCAAAAAAGAGUUCCUGGCAACGGCAAGCCACGACCAGCGGUGGUUGAACGACCCUCGGCAUGAGUCGUGAGCACUUGCCCCGUAACGUGGAACGUGUUGACCCUGAAUGUGUUCGCGGCAUAUCGGAACGCUCACGAAGUGACCCCAGGUCAGGCGGGACUACCCGCUGAGUUUAAGCAUAUCA
rnacentral:misc_RNA from 1 species